UCUCCCUCCGUCCCACACGAUGCCCGCAGCGGCAUGCCCUACAUAACAUGGGCAGGGAGAGGGACUUCACUGCAGUGCUAGCAUGGGCGGGCUGCUGGGGGAAGGGAGGAGAGGCCGCCUUUCCAAAUUGUCAUGAUCACAAGAAAUUCUUGUGAUUCUCCAAGCGGCUCCCUUGCUUUAGCAGCAAGGAUGCCGUGCUGGGAUUUAAGCUGCUGAACACAAGAAGGGAGCAAAUAUUGCCAAUUUCGUUCCCGACAGCACAGGAUGGGCUGCAGCGAAGCUACGGGAAAGGGAGGGGUGUGCUCCGCUGGGAUCGGCCCGUCUGCAUCCAACACAGCCCCGAGAGCAGAGGCAUUCCCAUCCGUGCCAGCAGAAAAUAAAGACAUCGUCUCAGUCACCCAAGAACAUUCACAUUGUCAGCAUAGCCAUUACUUGGAAAUUUUCGUUCUUCCUCACAUGAGAUGUCUUCUGCUGCACAUCCCACAAAUCAAGCCUACUGCUCAAAGUCUCUGUGGAA